CAAUUCCGCUAGAGGUGCCUUUUUAAAGGGCUGAGAUUGAAGUGUAACUUCGGGACUCUAUGAACCUGAUCUGGUUAAGACCAGCGUAGGGAAGUGGAAAACAGGAUAU
rnacentral:ncRNA from 2 species